rnacentral:rRNA from 1 species
AGCGAACGUUAGCGGCGCGCCUAACACAUGCAAGUCGCACGAGAAACGGAGCAAUCCGCGGUACAGUGGCGCACGGGUGAGUAAUGCGUGGGAAUCUACCCUCGAGCGGGGGACAACCCGGGGAAACCCGGGCUAAUACCGCAUACGUCCUACGGGAGAAAGCGGGCCUCUACACUAUGCUCGCACUCGAGGAUGAGCCCACGUCCGAUUAGCUAGUUGGUAGGGUAACGGCCUACCAAGGCCACGAUCGGUAGCUGGUCUGAGAGGAUGAUCAGCCACACUGGGACUGAGACACGGCCCAGACUCCUACGGGAGGCAGCAGUGGGGAAUAUUGGACAAUGGGCGCAAGCCUGAUCCAGCAAUGCCGCGUGUGUGAAGAAGGCCUGCGGGUUGUAAAGCACUUUCAGUGGGGAAGAACGGAUACGGGCCAAUACCCCGCAUCACUGACGUUACCCACAGAAGAAGCACCGGCUAACUCCGUGCCAGCAGCCGCGGU